UGACGUCCCCACGGGAGCCCUAUUGCAGGGGCUGAGAUCGGGCUGAGGCAGCCUGCGACCGUCGAACCUGCCCGGGUAAUGCCGGCGAAGGAAGUAGGAACGAUUCCGAU
rnacentral:ncRNA from 2 species